rnacentral:rRNA from 1 species
GACGAACGCUGGCGGCGUGCCUAACACAUGCAAGUCGAGCGAGAGACUUCGGUCUCUAGCGGCGGACGGGUGAGUAACACGUGGGUAACCUGCCUCAUAGAGGGGGAUAGCCUCCCGAAAGGGAGAUUAAUACCGCAUAAUAUGGAUUAAUCGCAUGAUUGAUUCAUUAAAGGAGUAAUCCGCUAUGAGAUGGACCCGCGGCGCAUUAGCUAGUUGGAGAGGUAAAGGCUCACCAAGGCGACGAUGCGUAGCCGACCUGAGAGGGUGAUCGGCCACGUUGGAACUGAGACACGGUCCAGACUCCUACGGGAGGCAGCAGUGGGGAAUAUUGCACAAUGGGGGAAACCCUGAUGCAGCAACGCCGCGUGAGUGAUGACGGCCUUCGGGUUGUAAAGCUCUGUCUUCAGGGACGAUAAUGACGGUACCUGAGGAGGAAGCCACGGCUAACUACGUGCCAGCAGCCGCGGUAAGAC